rnacentral:misc_RNA from 1 species
GAUGAAGAACGCAGCGAAAUGCGAUAAGUAAUGUGAAUUGCAGAAUUCAGUGAAUCAUCGAAUCUUUGAACGCACAUUGCGCCCGCCAGUAUUCUGGCGGGCAUGCCUGUUCGAGCGUCAUUACAACCCUCAGGCCCCCGGGCCUGGCGUUGGGGAUCGGCGGAAGCCCCCUGCGGGCACAACGCCGUCCCCCAAAUACAGUGGCGGUCCCGCCGCAGCUUCCAUUGCGUAGUAGCUAACAUCUCGCAACUGGAGAGCGGCGCGGCCACGCCGUAAAACACCCAACUUCUGAAUGUUGACCUCGAAUCAGGUAGGAAUACCCGCUGAACUUAAGCAUAUCAAUACGCGGAGGA